GAAGGCCUCUCAGCGAUUGGGGUGCCUGCAAGCAGGGCAGGCUGGUAUCUCAUUCCUGACAAGGGCAAUGAGGCACAGAGCCGUGGGGACACCUCCCUGAGUUCACACAGCUGUGAACCUAAGACUGCUCUAAGAAAUCAAGUCUUUGGAAAAUGUAUGGGAAGAGAAUAAUAUCAGCCCUAAAUGUCUCUCCGGCAUCAUUUACAAGAGUGAAAUUUUAGAAAUAAGCCCCAAAUCCAUCAAUAGAAGACUACAUGAAUGAAGUGGUAAAUGUAAAUAAAACAUAUACAGGCCACUUCCUGUGCUGGAGCACUGUGCGUUUACUAUAGAGAAGAAGGUCGAGCUGUGUGCACAAAUACGGA
rnacentral:lncRNA from 1 species